rnacentral:lncRNA from 1 species
CUUAAACUAUUAGAAUAGGUUUCCUCGCACCAUGACUCUGAUCGAAAGAGAAUGAGUAAUUACUUUUUAGAAUUAAUUAAUAGAAUUAAUAAAAAAAAGUCUUGCCUGUACACACUUGUGGUUUUAUUUUUUGUUCAGUGUAUAAACUUUUGUGUGUGUAUGUUACUCCAAAUAAUUAUUUUUUGUCGCAGGCUCUGCUGCUGGUUAUAGCAGUACAAACGCACGGUCAGCAGUUCAACAAUUACGAUCCCUCGGAGGGAAGCCCGAGACCGUUACCGCCCUCCAUCCCAGGAGCUUACUCUGUUACUGGCGAUCGCCCUCGGCCAUCUUUUAGGCCCCAGGGACGACGGAUCCAGGCUCCAGAGGACCAAGCCCCUCAAGCCCAGUCUCAGGCACCGGCCGCGGGGCGCCCAAGUUCCUGCGACGCCCCUUCCAGGCGCGUGCCGGGCGGAUCUCACCGUUGGACGCCGAGUCGGAGCAGAAGUCGGGGGCGCCCGUCCCGUUCGCGCCAUCGCCGUUCCCGCCGCAAGGGCGCCCCCUCCCGGACGGCCCCUUCGCCCCCCAGCGCCCCGUUGUCGAAGAGGAUGACGAGCCUGAGGCGCAGGACCCCACUCUCCCGGCCGUCACGGUGACGCAGCGACAGCCGCUCUUCCGCCCCCCGCCCCAACAGCCCGCCCUCCCCGUCUUCCGCCAGCCCGCCAGCGUCGGCUUCGCCCCCACACCCUUCAUCAUCCAGGAGGAGGGCGAUUCCUUCGUCCCCGCCAAACAGUUCAAGCCGGCUCCACCUCCGGUGAGCCUAAACGAGGGAGGCCAGCAGGGUCCGCAGAGGAAGGCGCAGUUCCGGCCGCAGGGUCCGAACGCGGGUGUCCGACAGCAGACUUCGAAAGCCCCGCAGUACGAGAAGCCGGCGCGCCCGCUCCAGCCGACCGCCACCGCCGAGAGGAACGACAUUGACAGGGCUGGCUACAGAGAGAAAAAACCAGUCGCCCAGAUCCUGAAACGAUACAGAGAGGACAAUCCGGACGGCUCGAUCACGUGGGUUUUGAGAACGACGACGGCUCCUUCAAAGAAGAGACGAUCGGGAUCGACUGCGUGA